UACGGGGGGAGCAAGCGUUGUUCGGAUUUACUGGGCGUAAAGGGCGCGUAGGCGGUCAGCACAAGUCAGUUGUGAAAUCUCCGGGCUUAACUCGGAAAGGUCAACUGAUACUGUGCGACUAGAGUGCAGAAGGGGCAACUGGAAUUCUCGGUGUAGCGGUGAAAUGCGUAGAUAUCGAGAGGAACACCUGCGGCGAAGGCGGGUUGCUGGGCUGACACUGACGCUGAGGCGCGAAAGCCAGGGAAGCGAACGGG
rnacentral:rRNA from 1 species